rnacentral:rRNA from 1 species
UACGUAGGGCGCAAGCGUUGUCCGGAAUUAUUGGGCGUAAAGAGCUCGUAGGCGGUCAGUCGCGUCGAUCGUGAAAGCCCGAGGCUCAACCUCGGAAUUGCGGUCGAUACGGGCUGACUAGAGUUCGGUAGGGGAGACUGAAAUUCCUGGUGUAGCGGUGAAAUGCGCAGAUAUCAGGAGGAACACCGGUGGCGAAGGCGGGUCUCUGGGCCGAUACUGACGCUGAGGAGCGAAAGCGUGGGGAGCAAACAGG